AGAGUUUGAUCAUGGCUCAGAUUGAACGCUGGCGGCAUGCCUUACACAUGCAAGUCGAACGGCAGCAUAGAGAGCUUGCUCUCUGAUGGCGAGUGGCGAACGGGUGAGUAAAGCAUCGGAACGUACCGUGUAGUGGGGGAUAACGUAGCGAAAGUUACGCUAAUACCGCAUACGCACUGAGGUGGAAAGCAGGGGAUCGCAAGACCUUGCGCUAUACGAGCGGCCGAUGUCAGAUUAGCUAGUUGGUAGGGUAAAGGCCUACCAAGGCGACGAUC
rnacentral:rRNA from 1 species